CAGGCAUUGUGAUGUAGCAUUAGGCUACUAUUGAUCUUCUGAUCAUAUGUCAGAAGGAGGAUCAUCUGCUGUGGGUGUUCCUGAUCUUUGAGCCAUGAUAAUGUUACUGGUUGGAUGUCAGGAGCAGGCCAUGUGGAUGAUUAAAAGAUGAAUAUCAUAUACAGCAUGGAUAUGUUGGACAAAAAGAUGAUUCACAUCCCAGACAGAAUGGAGCAGCACAUUUAUUAAAAGCCAGAAGCUAGAAGACGAGGAAAGAAGAGGUGGUUAAAGAAAGAUACAGUAACAGCAGUAAUAUCUAACAGGAAGGCUACAGGGGAAAAUACAGAAAUUCCAUAAAGAACAAACACUGUAACUCAAAACCAAAGCUUUGCUAGUCACUAGUGCCCGCUACAUCCUAACAGAUGCAGCUGGAGAGCCUGGGGUGAGAACAUGAGCAGUCUAUAAUCAGAAAAUCCCUUUGGGAUAAAUUGACAAAAAUAUAAACCACUCCACAAAGGAGAAAUUGUAAAUGCAGGCAGAAGACAAUAAGGGAG
rnacentral:lncRNA from 1 species